CCGUCUCUCCGCUGCGGGCGAGCCUGGAGGACCUCGCGGGUCUUCCGCCGGCGCUGAUCAUCACCGCGGAGGCGGAC
rnacentral:tRNA from 1 species